AUUGAACGCUGGCGGCAUGCCUUACACAUGCAAGUCGAACGGCAGCACGGAGCUUGCUCUGGUGGCGAGUGGCGAACGGGUGAGUAAUAUAUCGGAACGUACCCUAGAGUGGGGGAUAACGUAGCGAAAGUUACGCUAAUACCGCAUACGAUCUAAGGAUGAAAGUGGGGGAUCGCAAGACCUCAUGCUCGUGGAGCGGCCGAUAUCUGAUUAGCUAGUUGGUAGGGUAAAAGCCUACCAAGGCAUCGAUCAGUAGCUGGUCUGAGAGGACGACCAGCCACACUGGAACUGAGACACGGUCCAGACUCCUACGGGAGGCAGCAGUGGGGAAUUUUGGACAAUGGGCGAAAGCCUGAUCCAGCAAUGCCGCGUGAGUGAAGAAGGCCUUCGGGUUGUAAAGCUCUUUUGUCAGGGAAGAAACGGUGAAAGCUAAUAUCUUUUGCUAAUGACGGUACCUGAAGAAUAAGCACCGGCUAACUACGUGCCAGCAGCCGCGGUAAUACGUAGGGUGCAAGCGUUAAUCGGAAUUACUGGGCGUAAAGCGUGCGCAGGCGGUUUUGUAAGUCUGAUGUGAAAUCCCCGGGCUCAACCUGGGAAUUGCAUUGGAGACUGCAAGGCUAGAAUCUGGCAGAGGGGGGUAGAAUUCCACGUGUAGCAGUGAAAUGCGUAGAUAUGUGGAGGGACACCGAUGGCGAAGGCAGCCCCCUGGGUCAAGAUUGACGCUCAUGCACGAAAGCGUGGGGAGCAAACAGGAUUAGAUACCCUGGUAGUCCACGCCCUAAACGAUGUCUACUAGUUGUCGGGUCUUAAUUGACUUGGUAACGCAGCUAACGCGUGAAGUAGACCGCCUGGGGAGUACGGUCGCAAGAUUAAAACUCAAAGGAAUUGACGGGGACCCGCACAAGCGGUGGAUGAUGUGGAUUAAUUCGAUGCAACGCGAAAAACCUUACCUACCCUUGACAUGGCUGGAAUCCUUGAGAGAUCAGGGAGUGCUCGAAAGAGAACCAGUACACAGGUGCUGCAUGGCUGUCGUCAGCUCGUGUCGUGAGAUGUUGGGUUAAGUCCCGCAACGAGCGCAACCCUUGUCAUUAGUUGCUACGAAAGGGCACUCUAAUGAGACUGCCGGUGACAAACCGGAGGAAGGUGGGGAUGACGUCAAGUCCUCAUGGCCCUUAUGGGUAGGGCUUCACACGUCAUACAAUGGUACAUACAGAGCGCCGCCAACCCGCGAGGGGGAGCUAAUCGCAGAAAGUGUAUCGUAGUCCGGAUUGUAGUCUGCAACUCGACUGCAUGAAGUUGGAAUCGCUAGUAAUCGCGGAUCAGCAUGUCGCGGUGAAUACGUUCCCGGGUCU
rnacentral:rRNA from 1 species